CGUUCUUUUUCCCCGCCGCGGCGGCUCUGGCGGUCUUUGUGUUGUGAAGGCCGCCCUUCUGCUGUUUGCGCCUUCACUCUUCGGCGCGGCCGCCGCCUAUAUUUGCAUGGCCUUUCUCCCGAGGCUGCACGAUGUUGUCCGCCGCCCGGAGGAGCCGUGUUUGCCCGCCUGGUGGGACCCAGGUCCGGGAGGCCUCGACGGCGGCCUGCGCUGUGAGAAGGGCCGGAGCCCGCGGGGUCCGCGCCCUCCCCGGCCUCGGCUUGCGCAGAGGCGCGCUCGGGCCUGAUGGCUGUGCCAGAUGAAGAUUUCAAGAUGGCUGGAGUUGGAUUUUUCUGGAGAGUGAAGGCUCCUGAUUGAAACAGAACAAUCUCAGGACACCUGUGUUGCCCCUAAGUUUCCUAGCAGUAUCUGAUACUGAAGAGAACAGCAUGUUUUGGGGCUGUUUUAAAGGUUACCAGUAAAAGCUGCCUUCGCUUAUCAUUAUGGAGCUGCUGAGUCGGGAGAGAACCUCCACAGGAAGAGGUGGGCAACAAGACAAAUUAUUUUAGGUGGAAACUGAAAUCCAAGCACAGAUGUUUGAUUUUGGUGGUUCUGUAUGUAUCUGAUGUUGAUCAAUUAAAGACUCCGGAUGUAUGUUGGUCUUGUCGUUCAAAGUGUUGGUUAUUCUCCCUGUAAUACUCUGUAAACCCAAACUCGGAAAAUCUUAACUUCUUAGGAAUAAUGAGACCAAUCUUAUAACUGCAUUUUUACUUAUUUUUCUUUUCCUCAACUUGAGGCUAUUUUAAAUAGGUCCUUACAGCUUUGAAGGCUUCUGUGAUACAGACUGAUUACUCUGCUUGAAGCAGUCAAUCCUCUAGCACAAACUAGAUCAAUUAUCGGUUUUAUAAAACUCAGUAGGGACUAGCAAAUGUCUUUGUACACAACAUGACAAUAUAAGUUGGAAAAUAGGGUUUCCCGAUUUACUUGGAAAAGGGAGUGACAAUGCCGUUCAGUUUGGAAUUGCGUCUUGGUCAAGUUACUCCUUUGCCAUUUCUUAUGGAAAGUGCUUAAGGUAAUUAAGGCCAAGUAAUGGGUGAUGUUUGGGGUCUUGGCACACAGAUGCCCUUGAGCAGACUAAACCUAUGAGGUCAAGCACGAAGUAUUGGCUUUAGGUUUGGCAUCUUUGCUUCCCACCACAUAUCCCUCAUUGGGCCAUGCUCCUCCCAUCCCCACCAAUGUAUAAUGGCUGUACGCCAGGUGCUCUGACAAUUCAAACAGAACCUUAAUAGUUUACAAACUCUGGGUAUAUCCAGCUGUGCUUAAUCUCUAGGAGUGUGGAUAACUUCAUGGGCAAUAGUUGUGACCAAAAUGGCAAUUUGAGGCCAGGUGUGGCAGCUCAAAUUUUUUUUUAUUUUUAACAGCUGUAAUCCUAGCACUCUGGGAGCCCAAGAGGUAUGGAUUGCCUGAGCUCACGGUUUGACACCAGCCUGGGCCAGAGUGAGACCUCAUAUCUAAAAAAUAGCUGGGUGUUAGCUGUGCGUUGUGGCGGGCGCCUGUAGUCCCAGCUGC